rnacentral:tRNA from 1 species
AAUUUUGUGGUAUAGUGGCAACGCCCCUGUCUGAUAAGUAGGAGUCGUGAGUUCCAGUCUCACCGAGAGGA